GGAUGAUCCUAUCCAGCAAUAACAGAUCACAUGAAUCAGCGUACUGAUAAUCUACGUUUGAUUUUGAGGUUAAAUUAACUAGGAUAAAUGCAAUAUAAUGAAUCUCCGAGGGUCUGGCAUCUUUUAUUAUGCAGAAUCUGAAGUGGUUUGAAAGCUCUAACAUUCACAAAAUUGUUUAUGUUUUAUCAUUCAAAUGGACCAGUGUAGAUUAGUGUUGGCUGUGCCUCUCUCAUAUUCUUCAGACAGGAGAUUCAUGUCCUUCCCUGUACAAUCAAGUAUUUCGUGUUCCAAAUGGCACUUGAGGUCUGCUGUUCCACUGGCUGCUUAUGCCUAGUAUAUAGGGCAAAAGGGACAAUAUGUAUUUUUCAGAAUACAUGCAAAAGAAACCAACUGCUGUAACUGAUCUCCUUGUCUUUGCUCCUCGUUGCAAACAGAGCUGUUUAGCAAAAGUGACAGUGCUUAAAAUUCUAAUGCCAACCUUCUUAAAAACUGAAUUGAAUUUCUGUCAAGUACUGUCACACUUGCUAAACAGCUGUGUAUAUGAAGGUCACCUUGAAUACCCAGAUUUGAGUCUCUGCUUUAACUGUUCUUCUGCCUUGAUAGGAUCUCCUAUGACCAAUUCUUCAGUUUGACAGUCCAGAUCGUACACUGUGCAGAGUUGUAGGAGCACAAACAGAAGAACCAGCUAUGGAGAAGGGCUGGAGAGUACAGAGAUGUCCAGUCAGCUCUGGCCCUGUGUCCCUUUCAGGGGCUGGGUACAAAUGGGUAUGCAGCAUGACUGUCUCUGCUUUGGCCUUGCCAAGCUGGUGUAAUUACUGCAGGGAGCUGUUAAUCAGACAGUUUAAGUUCCAGUUUAAACUGAAUCGUCUUCCCUAACCAAGUGGAGUAAAAAAUUGACAUGCCUUGACCAAUUCAGCUAGACUGUAAGAUUGGUUACUUAACAUUCACUUUUUCUCUUUCACCUAAAAUCUUUAAUGAUAUGGGAGACACUGGUGGACUGGGACUGUGGUGGUGUUGGUUCAGGCUGGAGUUCUGAGCAGAGCAGGAGAAGGGAGACCUAUCAAAAAAAUACUCUCGUAUGAGCUACACACUGUUUGCAGAGGACCACAUCAAGUUUCACACAGGAGAAGCAAUGUACACUUUCCUUGUAAACAGUCAGUAGUACAGGACCUGCUCUUCUUGGAAGCCUAUCAUGAGACACAGUAGAAAGGAGAUCCUCCUCUGAAGAGGCAGAUAUCAUCUGAUUCUUAAAAUACUUUUUGGCUAUGAUAACUUUCUAGUGAAUUGUUUAUUGUAGUAUUUCUUUGCUGUUAACCAUUUCUUAUCUACCAUUCCACUGUUCCUCA